UACGGAGGGUGCAAGCGUUAUCCGGAUUCACUGGGUUUAAAGGGUGCGUAGGUGGGCUGGUAAGUCCGUGGUGAAAUCUCCGGGCUUAACCCGGAAACUGCCAUUGAUACUAUCUGUCUUGAAUACCGUGGAGGUGAGCGGAAUAUGUCAUGUAGCGGUGAAAUGCUUAGAUAUGACAUAGAACACCGAUGGCGAAGGCAGCCAUCUGGACCGACACUGACGCUGAGGCGCGAAAGCGUGGGGAGCAAACAG
rnacentral:rRNA from 1 species